GGUUGCGAUCAUACCAGCACUAAUGCACCGGAUCCCAUCUGAACUCCGCAGUUAAGCUUGCUUGGGCGAGAGUAGUACUAGGAUGGGUGACCCCCUGGGAAGUCCUCGUGUUGCAACCC
rnacentral:rRNA from 1 species